UACAGGGGGGGCAAGCGUUGUUCGGAAUUACUGGGCGUAAAGGGCUCGUAGGCGGCCAACUAAGUCAUACGUGAAAUCCCUCAGCUUAACUGGGGAACUGCGUGUGAUACUGGAUGGCUUGGAUUUGGGAGAGGGAUGCGGAAUUCCAGGUGUAGCGGUGAAAUGCGUAGAUAUCUGGAGGAACACCGGUGGCGAAGGCGGCAUCCUGGACCAAUAUUGACGCUGAGGAGCGAAAGCUAGGGGAGCAAACGGG
rnacentral:rRNA from 1 species